UUUCCCAAAUGCAGGGUUGACAACAACAGUGGACAGACCAAGACCAAGUUCCCAGUUCUGUGAAGUCGUUAAUAGAGGGCGGAUAACACCCUUUCAUGUGCUGAGAACAAGACAGCUCUAACCGGAUGAUUACUUCUAAAGCCCCACCCUUAAACACUAGAAUUUGGGGACCUUUGGACAAUAUGGAUCUACCAAUAGUUGCAUUCUAAGGGCCAGAGCUGUGACACCAAGGUCCCCCUCCUGUUCACGACUCCAAACAGGCUCCAAACACUGCAUGUGUGGUUCUAUCCUAGAUCACUGCUGAGCUGAACUUGGGGCACCUUUCCAUCUGCAGUGUUCCAGGGGCUGAUGAGAUGCUUCAGCAGGUAAAGUCACUGGCCACCAGAUAACUCGAAUUUGAUCUCUGGGAUGCACAUGGUAGAAGGAGACCACUAACUCUUGCAAGUUAUCCUGGGACCUCCACACAUGUGUCAAG